UCGGAUUGUAGUCUGCAACCCGACUACAUGAAGCUGGAAUCGCUAGUAAUCGCAGAUCAGAAUGCUGCGGUGAAUACGUUCCCGGGUCUUGUACACACCGCCCGUCACACCAUGGGAGUCGGAAAUGCCCGAAGCCAGUGACCCAACCUUAAGGAGGGGAGCUGUCGAAGGUGGAGCCCGGUGACUGGGGGUGAAGUCGUAACAAGGUAUC
rnacentral:rRNA from 1 species